CUCCACUUCCUGAGAGGCCCCGCUGUGGCCAUGCCUCCCUUUGGUGGAAACCCAGGCUUUAUCAAGAGCUGGAGGGACCAACUGCCAGCUCUCUCAGGGGACAAGCUGCCAUGGGACUGAGGUGCGGGAUGAGGACCACCAAGUGCCAGCUGCUGGUGAUGAGCCUUUGUGUCAAGCUGCUGGGGCUCUCCAUUGCCACGGUGAGCACCGUCACCCACUAUGGGCUCCAUUUCACCGUCAUCAGCAACGUUUCCCUGGACAGCAAUGCCUACAGGGUCAUCCACCACACAGCCCCUGUGCUGUGGUAAAUGUUCAGAAGGGACUCCUUGGUCACAUCACUGGAGCUGGCAGGAGACUGGAAGCACGGGGAGAGGAACUACAGGAGCUGAAGCAGAACACAGAAGAUUGAGGCUGGGAGGAGAAAUGUUUGGCAGCGCCUCGGACUUUUCUGAGGAAAUGUGCGGUAUUUUCACUUUCACAAGGGAGAAGUAUAAACUGAGUCUCAGCUUUCUACUUUGGGAUCUGCCUGAGCAUGACCCUGAUCCUGGCAGCCCUGCUGAGCUCUGCUGCCACAGUGCGGGAAUCGCAGUGCCUCACUGCCAUGGUGCGUAUCCAUACCUGCAGGGACUGGCUGGAAGGGCUUUUGUUCACCUGGGGCUGGCCCCUGUAGCGUGUGGUGCUGGGGGCUGUGCUGCCUUAUGCCUGGGAGAAUGCUCGCCUGGGGAAGGAGGUCCGGUUGUUCCACCUUGUGCUGCUACGGGACAUUUUUGAAAAAGUGUGACCUUGCAGAGCUCUUCAGGCUGAGGAUUGCAUCAUUUUGUGCCUAGUUUCCUUUGCCAAGGUCCUGUGUAUGCAGCUUUCAGAGGGAAGGUGUUUAUCUGCCAAGCAACUAAGGUGAUGACAAUUCCCAGGGUAUUUUUUUUCUCCUUAUCAAGUCAACACAUGGUUUGUAUGGGGAAACCUUAGCAGUGUGAUUUUGAGUCUCACACGCUUCCCCUGACUUGUGACAGCAAAAUUAGCCCCUCUUUUUCCCACCGCACUGCAAACAUCCAUAAAAAGCAUGGCAGCAGGCAUGGGGGAUUUGGGCAGGACCCUGAAUUUCAGCCUACAAGGAGAGGGUGGAGAAGUAGCAUAAGAGUUGAAAUCCCCCCUUUGUCCUCUCCAUCAGCCUGUUUGGGCCUGGACCACGUUGACAGUAAUAAAUCGCACUGUGAGCCAAGCUGCAUUUCAAAACAGAGCCUGCGUGUGGGGCUUAGCCUGCAUAGAGAAGCUUCCAGCCUUGGAGCUGGAGGGAUAAGUGGUAAAGUGCUGCUCACUGCAUGUUUUCCCAUGUGAAGGGCAGGAGUUAACAGGUAGGUUGUUGAGCAUGAAAUCUUGCUUAAUAUAAAAUAAUUGCAUUGCUGUCAUAUACUCACUUUAAAGAGAUUUAUCUAAUCUGUGUAAUUGUAAUGGCAGAAAUGAGAAGCUGACGCUUGAAAAUUCAGUGCAAAGCAAACACUGACAUUAAUGUUUUCACCUUCUCAAUACACCACCUUCCUUUCUCUGUCUGAGAUACCCAAAGGGACCAGAGAUCCCAUGAAUUAAGCAGAAUACGUGUAACUCCCCUCUCUUUUGCUGAAGUGUCUUUAAUGUGUGCCUGCAGUUACCGCAUCUAAACCAACAGACGGGCAUAUACAGAUGUGUGGAGAAUGUCAUGGCUGCCUGAAGAUUCAGUCAAACUUCUCUAUAAUGUUUAUUUGUUGCCUUACUCUCUGGUAUAGUUUGGGGCAUGCCGCUCCAUAGAACAGGCUGUUAAAAUAGUAAUAAAGAGCGCAAACAUAUACUGAGCAAACUCCAGAGCUGCCGUCCAAAGAACACUGUCCAAGGGCCACACGGUGCUGCUCUCCCUUUCCUCUGGAAUGAGGGCGAUCCUUUCCUCCAGACACCCGUCAUCUCCCCCAGCCCGCCUGCUUUGGGGUAUCACAGCCAAGCUUUGCUCGUCGAAGCAACCUCGGGCUGGCAGAACCCUCAGACUGGCUAUUUAUUUCUGUGGCUCCUAGUGCAUCCUGUUGGCUUGUUUUUAGCUUUCACAUCCUCUGGGGGAUGUGGCCGUCUGCAUCCCCUGAUGGCACGGUGUGCUGCCUUGCGGGGGAGCGGAGGAAAGGUG